rnacentral:rRNA from 1 species
AUGACCAGUAUAGGGAUUACUAAGGAGACUAACGAAAUAAGUAUAACAACAACUAACUCAUCUGCCAAUAUAUUUCCAAAAAAUCGAAAGCUAGGCGAUAAUGGUUUUGUGAAAUAUUCUAAGAUGUUAAUUGGUAAAAGGACUGGAGUUGGUUUAAUAUACUCCCUCCGUCCGGAAAUACCUGUCCCAAGAAUGGAUGUAUCUAGAUGUACUUUAGUUCCAAAUACAUUCAUUUAUAUCUAUUUUCAGGACAAGUAA